UGAAGGAGACAGAUCCUUCUUAUGAUCGUGGGGACAGCUGCAGGUCUUACCAGUAAUCAGAGAAAGUCUCUGCUUUCCACUGCUCUCGGGGUCCUGGGCUAACCACUUGUGCUGUGCUGUGCUGUGCUGUUACUGUAUACAGCCAGCUGCUAUCCCCUGCUGUUUCCUUCCUUCUCUUCACUCACUCACUCCACUCAGCCGCUGUAGCUCCGCCCCCUAGAUGAGACAGACGAGGAGCUCAGCUGCUGGCAUGUGCUGUGACAAGCUCCACACAGAGACUGAAGUGAGAGGCUGUGUCUUGUCUGGUGGUUACUAUGGUGACGGAGUAUGUAAAUUGCCCACAUGGGUGGGCGCUAGCCGAUGAUGUCACCCACAGGGAAGUCCGGAUUUCCAUGUACGUGUGGUGGGCCUCGUCAGCGAUGUCCGAAACAGAUCCCCUGGCUAAAACCCUCUUUGCCCUUGAGCAGCAGCUAUAGAUGAUGAUGAAGGACUAGUAUCGUCAUCAUGACUGGUUGCAUCAUCUGCAGUAAUAGUAUCUGAUUGCUGCUCCUGCUCUUCUCUAAACUGAUUGUUAUCCACUUUUUAACUGGCAGCUCUGCUCACACAUUUUUUUUUUGCAACUGACAAUACAGAGUCACACUGCUUAUGUAAAUGCAGUGGGUGGGGCUUGUGGAGUCAGCGCAGCACCACUGUGUGAUGGGAUUAGACUAAGGGGACUGGACACAGCUUGUGGAUGGACACUGCACAGCCACUUGUACUAGAUGGACACCGCACAGCCCUUAGAUGGAUGGACACAGCAGAGCAGAGUACAGCACACAGCAGCAUGACUGAAGUGAAAUGGUGCUGAUUCACAGCCGCCAGGUCCUUAUAUAGAUUAAAGCCCAUGAUAAUCCAAUGCCAGGGUGAUGCUGAUGAUGGUAGGUUGAUGUUUUGCCCAAAUUUGGAAUCUGAACUUGGCAGAAACACCUGAGCCAGUGCUCAGAUUUACUCAGAUCUCGGAAGUUUGGGUGCAUUCAGAUUUUCUUUAUAGCUGAACAGUUCAUCUCUGGUCUGCAAUAACUUGCAGUUGCUGCUAGCAUGUCGGAAAAACACAUUACUCAAUGACAAAGAUGUCUGCAGUCACCCUUCCCACCCAUUUCACUUACAGAAAACCCUCUCUAAUGGUAUCUAUUCAAGAAAAUUUACAUUCCACACCUAUUCCAUACAUUCUCCUCUGUGAAAUUGCACCUGAUCACGAGUGAGGGACUUGUCUGCAAUCCAAAACACUGAAGAUCUGUUAUUUUUAUUUAUUUUUGGAGAAAUCUAAAUUUAGCCUUUUUUUGAGAUCCAAACUUUGCAGCAAGACCCGAGCUGGGACUUGGUUCUCCUCGGAAACCUCAAGUUCAGGUGUGUUUGGUUUUCAGCAAAUACUAACCACUCAUCUCUAGUAUUAACCAACAACUGUUUAUGUUGGCGCUAGUAGCCAGGGUCAAAAUGGCCCACAUGGGCACACGGGAAAUUACUGGUCACCCACACUGCCUAAGAGCCCGCCCUCUCUUCUAGGUUAGGUUUCAGACUGUGAACUCAAAUUAUACAUGGCUAUUUUAUUAAAUAGUCAGUUACCUGGUGGAGCAAGACCACUGUUAAGCAAGGGUGCUUGGUUCACUUACUUAGAAAGUACACCCAUAAUUAACCUGGUGGUUAGCCAAGUGUGUGUGGUGGCUGACCACACCUCAUCUUUUGGCUGACCCUACCCCUUAAACAUGGGCCCCCUCUACUACAUCCCCCUGGUGGGAUCUUCAUGCCCCAGUCAGACACUGCUAAUAGCACCCUAAAGUACUAUACUUAGAAGCAUGAAUUGAAUCAGUAUCCAGUGGUAGUAAUAGAGUGGAACAAGGGCUAUUUGCUAGCACAGUAUCCUACACUGCAGGAGGAAGCCUAUGGACUAACUAGGGUGAGAUCAAGCUUCCUAAGCUGUUGUAUAAUGAGUAUUAGAAGUGAGCUGUCCUUGGUCUUGAGCUCAAUUGUGUCCAUAGUUAUAACCACUAGGUUGACCUAAGUAAAGGUUCUUUGUAUUCAUGGAGCUACCAGGGAACAUGAAAAAACUCUCCUGCCAGUCAUCACCAAGGGACAAACAAUUACUGGUACCAUUGUUCCUAAGUUUCCACAUCUAAUUCUUAGCAGAGAUUUCUCACUAUUUAAAGAGGUCCUCCAAGAACAUGUCUCAUCAAACAGAUGGGCAAUUGAACCACAGCCCCAAAAGUCUUAUCUGAAAGACCUGCUUCAGGGCCAUGGGGAAAUGUACAUAAAACUGAGAGUCACCUUUAAUAAAUGCUGUCCAUGGGUCCACAGCAAAGUCUUCCCGGUAACUGUGGACUGCUAAGUGUCGGGGUCAACACCUCCAGGGAAUGAACCAACUUUGGCAGGUGAAGUUGUGAGCGAGUGUUCUCCAGCCCCUGGUGAGGACUCUGACUCUGACCAAAUACCCCUCUUUUUAUAUAGAUUAUUAAAAGUGUGUGAGUUUGUAUAUUUAAA